rnacentral:rRNA from 1 species
CGAACGAUGAAGCCCUUCGGGGUGGAUUAGUGGCGAACGGGUGAGUAACACGUGGGCAAUCUGCCCUUCACUCUGGGACAAGCCCUGGAAACGGGGUCUAAUACCGGAUAACACUCUGUCCCGCAUGGGACGGGGUUAAAAGCUCCGGCGGUGAAGGAUGAGCCCGCGGCCUAUCAGCUUGUUGGUGGGGUAAUGGCCUACCAAGGCGACGACGGGUAGCCGGCCUGAGAGGGCGACCGGCCACACUGGGACUGAGACACGGCCCAGACUCCUACGGGAGGCAGCAGUGGGGAAUAUUGCACAAUGGGCGAAAGCCUGAUGCAGCGACGCCGCGUGAGGGAUGACGGCCUUCGGGUUGUAAACCUCUUUCAGCAGGGAAGAAGCGAAAGUGACGGUACCUGCAGAAGAAGCGCCGGCUAACUACGUGCCAGCAGCCGCGGUAAUACGGAGGGUGCAA